rnacentral:sRNA from 1 species
GGAUGUGAGGGCGAUCUGGCUUCGACGUCUGUCACCCAUUGAUGGCCAGAGUUGAUUCGGCUGAUCUGGCUGGCUAGGCGGGUGUUCCCUUCCUCCUUCACCGCUCCAUGUGCGUCCUUCCGGAAGCUGUGUGCUACAAAGAGGGCCUGCCCUGCCAUUACCGCUACGAGCCUCUCUUCUGUGCAUGGUGGCUGUCCUCCCACACUCCAGCAGGCUCAUCUUGGGUUUUCAUAUUUGAUGUUUGCUCUGCCCA